GGCAGUGUGGUAUAGUGGUUUGUGUACUGGACUAUUACUCUGGAGACCAGGGUUCAAGUCCUUGCUUGGCCA
rnacentral:tRNA from 1 species